UGUAGUGAGAAACUCUAUGGGCUGGCAUAGACAUAGCAUAGAGUUUCUGGUUCAUGGCAUAGAUUUAAGAUGCCGUUUAUCGAUUCAAAUUGUACGGCGGCUAUAUUUGCAAACGGAGUGGUCGUUUCCUUUGUGCAGCUUCACGCAUGUUCGUUUUAAUUUGACAGCAGUAAUAUCUCGGCCAGUUUGUGCGUCCGACAUUCGAUAGCCGCUACCAGGCGAACGUAUUUAAAGACGGUGAAUUUUAUCAGCUGCAGCGUUUCACUGGCGUAAUGGCUACAUGCACGGCUUCCGUUGUCAGUGAUCUGCCGCCUCUGGCCGCGUAAUGACGGGUUGCUUGAAGAAAGUUUACUAGCUAGCGUGAAAACUCAUCGCUGGAACCGAGCACAGUCUGUCUGGAAACUAUUCAAGAAAGCGGAUUAACCGUACAGCCUCUGGGUGUGUGCACCGCCUCCAAGAUGCUGCUCAUAUUUGAUCAUCGCCUUUGGACUCUAUUGUCUCUGCAUGUACAAGUCAACAGUGAAUGUGUCGCCACAGAGCCAGAAUCCUCGCAAGGUAUGACAAAAGAGAGAUUAUUGGUUUGCAAGCUGCCCACGCCAAGCCACAAGAAGCUGAACGGUCACCAUAAUGACAACAGGUCCUCUUGAACUACGUGCCUCACCAUGAAAUGUUUGCAAGUUUACCAGAUAGAGGGCUGUGAGCGCUAUCGGGAAAACAGCAGUCUACAGUUUUAUAUUGGACCAAGCAGGAAUGCUAAAAUUUGACAUACAAGCUUACUUGAUUUUAACGGCGUUUCAUGACAAUCUGAGAAGUAACGAGUUGAGUCCCAGUCCCGUGUUUUUUUUCUCGUCAUGUAGCUAGCUCCUACUUGGUAAUGCACAAACUCUGUCAUCUGCUAUUUGCAAAUCAGAUUGACGGGCAUUACCACCAAGUAUCACAUGCUCCCUCAUAGCGUUAAUUUGUUACAUGAAACUGCAAAUAAUUUUAAAGCCUUCAAUACCGCUCAGUGCAAUUUUGAGGAAAUGAUGCUUCAUGUUGACUGAAACUCUGGCGGUCACUUCACUUUAUUAUUCUAUUUUUAUUUAAAGUAUGCUCAGGGCCAUACGCCAUUAAAGAGCGGAGUGGGUACAACGCAGUAGAGUAAAACAAACGAACAAGAACAGUGAGUUCUGGUAAUACAAUGUUAGCUAAUGUUUUGCAAAAAAAAGGUUGUUAUCGGUGAUGGCUACGAUACUUGAGGGAAGGUGGUUCCAUUCCCGAGAUGUGCGGGGAAUGAAAGAUUGAAAGAAAGUCUUCGUGUAGCAAGAAUCAAUCCCUGCGUUACUGCGAUGAUCGAUGCAGUUUGAGAUGUACUUGAGGUCGCGGUAUGAAGUCGCGGUGAAGUGUUGUAUGACGGAAAAUCUUAUAAAAUAGCGAAACAUGGUGACUGCGGCGAUUAUCUAGGGGAAUAAGUGCUGCUUAGUUUCAUUAAGGUUAUACUCACUGUACGGUUAUAAUUAGAAAGAAUGGAAAGAGCAGAGUUACGUUGUACUAGUUCAAGUGAAGUAGUAAGACUAACACAACUGGGAUCCCAUAUUGUAGAUGCAUAUUCAAGUUUUGAGCAUAUUAGCGUCUCGUAAAGGUGUAGUUUUAAAGUAGACUGUGCUUUGGAAAAGUUGCACUGUAAGUACCCGAGCAGGUGAAUAGCAUUGUUAAUGACAUACUCCAUAUUGGUCCAAUUUAAAUUAUUUGUAGUGUGUACACCAAUAUAUUUAUAGGACAUGACAAAAUCAGUGCAAAAUUGCACUUUUCAUUUGCUAACUACAAAAGGCUCAUGUACACUUCGCAUGAAAUCAGUAACUAGGCUAGCCCUGCACCGUAAGAGAUGGCUAGAACAGGCAACUUCACACAACUGGCCUACUCCACACUUCUCAAACAUGACAAACCAAAAAAAUCAAUUUUUCUUUCUCUUCAAACAGCAGAUGACAUACGUGAGGACAGUGCGUUCACAAAAAGCUUUUGAAAUACACUCGAAGUUGGGCUUAAAAUUCAGCCAAUCAACAAUGGACGAGCAUGGGAACUUAUCUUCGUCACGGUUCUCACAAAUAUGAUUGAUUGUUGAAACAUUGGCUACAGGCUGCAGGCUUCCCUUGCUCACCUCUGUUACUCAACUGAAGUGUUCAUCUCCUCGUAACCUUUUUGCAUUGUUUGAACAUGCCACCCGAGAUGUUUUUUCAACAUGAAACUGUAAAUUACAUUUUACAAGAAUCCGUGAGCAUUAGUUGGGCAUACUUAUACGUUUAUUUAGUGUCCUUGUUUUAUACACAAUAUUUGCAGAGGUCCUUGUAGGCAUUGUCUCCAUAACGUUCCUCGCCUUCCUACGAGUACUCCACUUGUGUCAAAGCCUUUACGGCUGCAACAGAGCACUAAAUGUCCAGCAGAAAUAUCAAGAACACACAAUAUGUGAUUUAAAAUUUAGCAUAACGUUUUUUCCCCCUCUACACUUCGUGCCUAUCUCCAAUGUGUUAUGAAAACAAUGCGACAUUACAGCUCGAGCUUACCUUACUGGCAAUACAUCUUUGCCGAGCACUUCUUACGUUUCUUUUUUUAAUCUAGCUGAAGUCGUAGAAGGCAGACAACAUACGUAUAGUAUGAAACACGUCAAACAGCACUGUAUAGGCCCGUUUAUAGUCCGACGUUAUCGGCGCGCGGGCGAGCGUUGUUCGCGGUCAGUCACGCUGCGCCAGCCGAGAUGCCAUCCCCUCUCGCCGUAGGCUGCUAUCUUCGGAGCAUGCGCAGAAGGUUCGCCAAGUCGCGCGCCGUCCGCAAAAGCCGUCUGCGGAGUUGUGUUGGCGCGGUUGGCGCCUUUUUCUUCGCGCGCAAUGCAUUGUGGUGCGAGAGUUCCGCCGACUUCGACGCGCGAAUGGCUCCGGAGCCAU